GGUUGUUUGGCCGAGGGGCCUAAGGCGUCAGACUGAGUUUCUGAUCUCGUUAGAGGCGUGGGUUCGAAUCCCACAGCAACCA